GCCCUUGUAGCUUAGGGGUAGAGCGUUCGCCUUGUAAGCGAAAGGUCAAGGGUUCAAUUCCCUUCGGGGGCA